UAAACACAGUAUCGACGUUUCUUGGGUU
rnacentral:piRNA from 1 species